GGGAAGAUACUCAAGCGGUCAACGAGGACAGACUGUAAAUCUGUUGGUUUCUACCUUCGCAGGUUCGAAUCCUGCUCUUCCCAC
rnacentral:tRNA from 1 species